AGGAAUACAAUCAUCUCGCGCUUGAAGGAAGGGAUUAUUACUUGAUGACGCAUGCACUUAUGUUGCUACUUUGAAGAGAAAGAGGAGGUUGGUUCUCAAUUCAGUCGUGUGAUAUAGAGGCAUGAAAUCUUUAUUCGACGCUACGAGAUCAAGAACCAUCCGAGAAACUAAUUCUGCAUAUCGGAGGGUUGUGAAGCUAAGUAUUGAGAAAAGAAGCCAAAAGUAGAUCAUGAGCACACUAAUUGGUGGGAUCUUAGAAAGAAUAUACGCGAAGACACAAGUGGGGUCUUAUGAUGCGUGAAUGUGUGCCAACCUCCAUGUA